rnacentral:rRNA from 1 species
GACGGAGGGCGCAAGCGUUGUUCGGAAUCACUGGGCAUAAAGAGCACGUAGGCGGUCCGCUAAGUCGAAUGUGAAAGCCCCCGGCUCAACCGGGGAACAGCAUCCGAUACUGGCGGGCUGGAGGAAGGCAGGGGUGAGUGGAACUCCAGGUGGAACGGUGAAAUGUGUAGAUAUCUGGAGGAACACCGGUGGCGAAAGCGGCUCACUGGGCCUUUCCUGACGCUGAGGUGCGAAAGCUAGGGUAGCAAACGGG